rnacentral:lncRNA from 1 species
GAAAGGAACCCUUAGUAUUGAAUAGGUGAGCAUUUAACCUUAGGAGGUGAGAAGAGUCCUUUUUCCAAAGAAACUCCCACCUAUGACCUCAGUGUGUUCUUAGUAUUGCCAAACUGCUUAAUUUUGACAAUCAAAUGGACAUAAAGUGGCAUUUCUUUCUUUGUUAUUGUUUUUUAGCAAAAUGGUGUUUCACUGCGGUCCUGAUUUGCAUGUUCCUGAUCAACCAACGGUGGCGAUUUUCUGCUCAUAGUGGACAUGUGUAUCUCCUCCCCUAUAAAACGUUUAUUCAUUUCCUUUGCCCAGUUUUCUACGGACUUGUUUUGUGCUUUUCCUAUGAAUCUGCUGUUCUCUACAUAUUCUUCAUAGGUGCAAAGACUCUUGUUAGGUGAAAACAUUUUCCUUCAACCAUAACUGGUCUUUACUUUCUUAAAGGCAUCUGUAGAUAAGCAAAAGCUUUUACGUUUAAUAUAGCUGAAUUUAACCUUUUCUUUUAUAACCAAUGCUGUUUUAGAAAAUUUCUGGAUUUUUUUGCAUAUUUAAGUUUUUAAUUCUUUUACAGUUGAUUUUUGUUUAUAGCAUGAGACUUCUCUCAAUCAUGAAGAACUCAGUACUCUCACAGCUACCAGAACUGCUCCCUGCUCCCAGUUUAAACAACUUGCACAAAACAUGAGACACCAGUAUUUUCUGACACUGGCCAACCCAUGGGUCAGGUCUGUGAUCCUGAGAGAAGAGACACAUGCCUGCGGAGUCCCGCAGUCCACCCAGCUUGCCAACUGGGGAGAAGCACCCCCUGAGCCCAGGGGUCAUCCUUCGAUAAGGGAAGAGAUUAGGGUCCAGGGCAUCUGGAACUUAUUGGGAAGGCUAAAAGACAGGAGGUUCGUAUAUAGAAAUCCAGGCCCUGAGAUCUGCAGGCAGUUGACCUAAAGCUUUGGCUGAACUCUGAUGCUCACGUACUUGAGAUAAAAUUCUGCUUGGAACUAUGAGAUAUGGGAAUAGCCAAGGAAUCCUAAUCCAUAGGAACAAUGCAGGGGGUGUCCCAAUGCCUCAUCUCAAAUGUGCUACAGGGUCACAGUAAUAAAUGCACGAUAUUGCAUCAAGACAGACACAAAGAGCAAUGGAACAGAGGACACAGAGACAAACCUACACACCUAGAGCCAUCCAAUACUGACAAAGAUGCCAAAAAUAUAGGUUGGAGAAAAUGUGGCCUUUUUAACAAAUGGUGCUGAGAAAACUGGAUAGCCCUAUGCAGAAGAAGGAAAUUAGACCCCCAAUGUCACCCUGUACCAAUGUCAACCCCAAAUGAUCAAAGAUUAAGAAUUGGACCAGUGACCUUGCAGUGCUAGAAGAAAACAGAGGGUCGACCCUCCACCACAUUGUGCAGACCCAGCUUCCUCAACAAGACCCUGAAAGCUCAAGGAGUAAAAGCAAGAAUCACUAAAUGGGUUGGCCACAAAUUAAAAAGCUUCUGCAUCACAAAGACAGGAGCAGGAAGAGAGAGCCCAGGAGUGGGAGGAGAUCCCUGCCAGCUGCUCCUCUGAGAGGGGACUAAAAUCCAGAACAUAUAAAGAACUCAAAAAACUGAACAUAGAAAACACUAUAGCCCAAUCAAUAAAUGGGCAAAAGAACGAAACAGACAUUUCUUCAAAGAAGAAAUGCAAGUGGCCCAUAGAUACAUGAAAAAAUGUCCAGCAUCUCUAGCAACCAGGGAAGUGCAAAUCAAAACCUCAGGAUUUCACUUCUCUCCAGUCAGAAUGGCAAUUAAUCAAGAAUACAAAUAAUAAAAAAGGUUGGCGAGGAUGUGGGGAUAGUACACUAGUACAUCGCUGGUGGGACUGCAUGUUCCUACAACCGCUUUGGAAAGCAUUUGAAAUUCCUCCAAAGACCUGAAAUGGAACCCCAGUGUGACCCAGCCACCCCACUCCAUGGCAUGUGUCCAAAGAUCUGAGCUCAGCACCUCCCCUGACACAGCCCGUCAACGUUCACAGCAGCUCAACUCACAAGAGCCAAGUAAGGAACCGCCAAGACUCUGGGCAAUAGGUGAAUGGACGUAGAAGAGGCGGCGCACACACACAGUGGACAUUUACUCAGCCACAAAGAAGAAGGAAAUGAGGGUAUUGGCUGGAAAAUUGAGAGAAAUGGGCAAAAUCCACUGAGUGAAUUAAGCCCGACUCAGAAAAUUAAGGGCCAAGUGUUUUCCCUUAUAUGUAGAAGCUGGG